rnacentral:rRNA from 1 species
CCUACGGGUGGCAGCAGUCGAGAAUCAUUCACAAUGGGGGAAACCCUGAUGCUGCGACGCCGCGUGGGGGAAUGAAGGUCUUCGGAUUGUAAACCCCUGUCAUGUGGGGGCAAAUUACAAAGAUAGUACCCCACGAGGCAGAGACGGCUAACUCUGUGCCAGCAGCCGCGGUAAUACAGAGGGUGCAAGCGUUGUUCGGAAUCACUGGGCGUAAAGCGUGCGUAGGCGGUUUCGUAAGUCGUGUGUGAAAGGCGCGGGCUCAACCCGCGGACGGCACAUGAUACUGCGAGACUAGAGUAAUGGAGGGGGAAGUGGAAUUCUCGGUGUAGCAGUGAAAUGCGUAGAGAUCGAGAGGAACACUCGUGGCGAAGGCGGGUUCCUGGACAGUAACUGACGCUGAGGCACGAAGGCGAGGGGAGCGAAAGGGAUUAGAUACCCCAGUAGUC